rnacentral:rRNA from 1 species
UACGUAGGGUGCAAGCGUUAAUCGGAAUACUGGGCGUAAAGCGUGCGCAGGCGGCUUUGCAAGACAGAUGUGAAAUCCCCGGGCUUAACCUGGGAACUGCAUUUGUGACUGCAUGGCUGGAGUGCGGCAGAGGGGGAUGGAAUUCCGCGUGUAGCAGUGAAAUGCGUAGAUAUGCGGAGGAACACCGAUGGCGAAGGCAAUCCCCUGGGCCUGCACUGACGCUCAUGCACGAAAGCGUGGGAGCAACAGG